UACGUAGGGGGCAAGCGUUGUCCGGAAUUAUUGGGCGUAAAGGGCGCGUAGGCGGCCAUUUAAGUCUGAUGUGAAAGUGCGGGGCUUAACCCCGUAAAGCAUUGGAAACUGGAUGGCUUGAGGACAGGAGAGGAAAGUGGAAUUCCACGUGUAGCGGUGAAAUGCGUAGAUAUGUGGAGGAACACCAGUGGCGAAGGCGACUUUCUGGACUGUAACUGACGCUGAGGCGCGAAAGCGUGGGGAUCAAACAGG
rnacentral:rRNA from 1 species